rnacentral:rRNA from 1 species
AGAGUUUGAUCAUGGCUCAGAUUGAACGCUGGCGGCAGGCCUAACACAUGCAAGUCGAGCGGUAGCACAGAGAGCUUGCUCUCGGGUGACGAGCGGCGGACGGGUGAGUAAUGUCUGGGAAACUGCCUGAUGGAGGGGGAUAACUACUGGAAACGGUAGCUAAUACCGCAUAACGUCGCAAGACCAAAGUGGGGGACCUUCGGGCCUCAUGCCAUCAGAUGUGCCCAGAUGGGAUUAGCUAGUAGGUGGGGUAACGGCUCACCUAGGCGACGAUCCCUAGCUGGUCUGAGAGGAUGACCAGCCACACUGGAACUGAGACACGGUCCAGACUCCUACGGGAGGCAGCAGUGGGGAAUAUUGCACAAUGGGCGCAAGCCUGAUGCAGCCAUGCCGCGUGUGUGAAGAAGGCCUUCGGGUUGUAAAGCACUUUCAGCGGGGAGGAAGGCGNNNNNNNNNNNNNNNNNCGAUUGACGUUACCCGCAGAAGAAGCACCGGCUAACUCCGUGCCAGCAGCCGCGGUAAUACGGAGGGUGCAAGCGUUAAUCGGAAUUACUGGGCGUAAAGCGCACGCAGGCGGUCUGUCAAGUCGGAUGUGAAAUCCCCGGGCUCAACCUGGGAACUGCAUUCGAAACUGGCAGGCUAGAGUCUUGUAGAGGGGGGUAGAAUUCCAGGUGUAGCGGUGAAAUGCGUAGAGAUCUGGAGGAAUACCGGUGGCGAAGGCGGCCCCCUGGACAAAGACUGACGCUCAGGUGCGAAAGCGUGGGGAGCAAACAGGAUUAGAUACCCUGGUAGUCCACGCCGUAAACGAUGUCGAUUUGGAGGUUGUGCCCUUGAGGCGUGGCUUCCGGAGCUAACGCGUUAAAUCGACCGCCUGGGGAGUACGGCCGCAAGGUUAAAACUCAAAUGAAUUGACGGGGGCCCGCACAAGCGGUGGAGCAUGUGGUUUAAUUCGAUGCAACGCGAAGAACCUUACCUGGUCUUGACAUCCACAGAACUUUCCAGAGAUGGAUUGGUGCCUUCGGGAACUGUGAGACAGGUGCUGCAUGGCUGUCGUCAGCUCGUGUUGUGAAAUGUUGGGUUAAGUCCCGCAACGAGCGCAACCCUUAUCCUUUGUUGCCAGCGGUUAGGCCGGGAACUCAAAGGAGACUGCCAGUGAUAAACUGGAGGAAGGUGGGGAUGACGUCAAGUCAUCAUGGCCCUUACGACCAGGGCUACACACGUGCUACAAUGGCAUAUACAAAGAGAAGCGACCUCGCGAGAGCAAGCGGACCUCAUAAAGUAUGUCGUAGUCCGGAUUGGAGUCUGCAACUCGACUCCAUGAAGUCGGAAUCGCUAGUAAUCGUAGAUCAGAAUGCUACGGUGAAUACGUUCCCGGGCCUUGUACACACCGCCCGUCACACCAUGGGAGUGGGUUGCAAAAGAAGUAGGUAGCUUAACCUUCGGGAGGGCGCUUACCACUUUGUGAUUCAUGACUGGGGUGAAGUCGUAACAAGGUAACCGUAGGGGAACCUGCGGUUGGAUCACCU